CGGGCUGUAGUAUAACGGUAGUAUUCACGAUUCGGGUUCGUGAGAUCCGAGUUCAAAUCUCGGCAGCCCGA
rfam:Parcubacteria bacterium GW2011_GWA2_47_16 TX89_C0008, whole genome shotgun sequence.